UAUACUCUUUUUUUUUAGGGUUCAACUAUUUUCUAGCUCUGUGUCGACAAAAUGGUUUCUCUUAAUCCAAUCACUCAAUCCCAAUCUUUAUUUAACAAAACCCACUUCCAAGUUUCCCCAUGUCACUCUCUUUCGACUGAUAAUUUCCAAUCCAUUUUUAUACCCAAAAGAGUUUCUUUUCAGUUUCAAUUCCCUCUCUCUCUGAGAAUUGUGAAUAUGCCCAUGAAAGCUGCUGCUGUUGUUUCCGCCACCACUGCGGAGAAACCUAAAAAGCGCUACCCAGGAGAGGCUAAGGGGUUUGUGGAGGAGAUGAGGUUUGUAGCGAUGAAGUUGCAUACCAGGGAGCAGGC
rnacentral:misc_RNA from 1 species